GAGAUGUGAACUUAAGCUCAGAAACUACGGCCACUACAUGAUGGCGUACCUUCAAUUUAAAGAAUCUACACCGACGGGGAUGAUUACCGAAUUCGUGUAUGUCUACUGUACCAGUGACUGCUUCAUUAUGGGUUAUAAGCACAUAGACUCUGAAAAAAUGGAAUGUAUGGUAUGGUCCUGGGAAAAAAAUAUGACAAUGCUCUCUUUAGAGUGCAAUUUUCUUGUGAAUAUGUAUUGUCGGCGUCUUGAGAUGGAUAACACAGACGUAUAUCUUGCCACCAAGUGUGACUUGUUGU